UACAGAGGUCGCAAGCGUUGUUCGGAUUCAUUGGGCGUAAAGGGUGCGUAGGCGGUCUGUUGCGUCGGUUGUGAAAACCUGGGGCUCAACUCCAGGCCUGCAAUCGAUACGGGCAGACUAGAGUUCGGUAGGGGAGACUGGAAUUCCUGGUGUAGCGGUGAAAUGCGCAGAUAUCAGGAAGAACACCAACGGCGAAGGCAGCUCGCUGGGACGGUACUGACGCUGAGACGCGAAAGCGUGGGGAGCGAACAGG
rnacentral:rRNA from 1 species